rnacentral:rRNA from 1 species
UACGUAGGGUGCGAGCGUUGUCCGGAAUUAUUGGGCGUAAAGCGCUCGUAGGCGGUCUGUCGCGUCGGGAGUGAAAACUCAGGGCUUAACCCUGAGCCUGCUUCCGAUACGGGCAGACUAGAGGUAUGCAGGGGAGAAUGGAAUUCCUGGUGUAGCGGUGAAAUGCGCAGAUAUCAGGAGGAACACCAGUGGCGAAGGCGGUUCUCUGGGCAUUACCUGACGCUGAGAAGCGAAAGUGUGGGGAGCGAACAGG